GAUGGGGGGUGCUAAUACAUGCAGUCGAACGCUUCUUUUUCCACCGGAGCUUGCUCCACCGGAAAAAGAGGAGUGGCGAACGGGUGAGUAACACGUGGGUAACCUGCCCAUCAGAAGGGGAUAACACUUGGAAACAGGUGCUAAUACCGUAUAACAAUCGAAACCGCAUGGUUUUGAUUUGAAAGGCGCUUUCGGGUGUCGCUGAUGGAUGGACCCGCGGUGCAUUAGCUAGUUGGUGAGGUAACGGCUCACCAAGGCCACAAUGCAUAGCCGACCUGAGAGGGUGAUCGGCCACAUUGGGACUGAGACACGGCCCAAACUCCUACGGGAGGCAGCAGUAGGGAAUCUUCGGCAAUGGACGAAAGUCUGACCGAGCAACGCCGCGUGAGUGAAGAAGGUUUUCGGAUCGUAAAACUCUGUUGUUAGAGAAGAACAAGGAUGAGAGUAACUGUUCAUCCCUUGACGGUAUCUAACCAGAAAGCCACGGCUAACUACGUGCCAGCAGCCGCGGUAAUACGUAGGUGGCAAGCGUUGUCCGGAUUUAUUGGGCGUAAAGCGAGCGCAGGCGGUUUCUUAAGUCUGAUGUGAAAGCCCCCGGCUCAACCGGGGAGGGUCAUUGGAAACUGGGAGACUUGAGUGCAGAAGAGGAGAGUGGAAUUCCAUGUGUAGCGGUGAAAUGCGUAGAUAUAUGGAGGAACACCAGUGGCGAAGGCGGCUCUCUGGUCUGUAACUGACGCUGAGGCUCGAAAGCGUGGGGAGCAAACAGGAUUAGAUACCCUGGUAGUCCACGCCGUAAACGAUGAGUGCUAAGUGUUGGAGGGUUUCCGGCCUUCAGUGCUGCAGCUAACGCAUUAAGCACUCCGCCUGGGGAGUACGACCGCAAGGUUGAAACUCAAGGAAUUGACGGGGCCCGCACAAGCGGUGGAGCAUGUGGUUUAAUUCGAAGCAACGCGAAGAACCUUACCAGGUCUUGACAUCCUUUGACCACCUCUAGAGAUAGAGCUUCCCCUUCGGGGCAAAGUGACAGUGUGCAUGUUGUCGUCAGCUCGUGUCGUGAGAUGUGGGUAGUCCCGCACGAGCCGCAACCCUUAUUGUUAGUUGCCAUCAUUCAGUUGGGCA
rnacentral:rRNA from 1 species